CCCUUAGAUGUCCUGGGCCGCACGCGCGCUACACUGAUACAGGCAGUAAGUCUCCAAUUCCGAAAGGUUUUGGGAACCUCCAAACUGUAUCGUGCUGGGGAUUGACACUUGUAAUUAUUUGUCAUCAACGAGGAAUACCUAGUAAGCGCAAGUCAACAGCUUGCAUUGAUUACGUCCCUGCCCUUUGUACACACCGCCCGUCGCACCUACCGAUUGAAUGGUCCGGUGAAAUCUCGGGACGGCGGCUUGGUCGCUUGCGUCCGACUGCUGAAACUUGAUUAAACCAUAUCAUUUAGAGGAAGGUGAAGUCGUAACA
rnacentral:rRNA from 1 species